rnacentral:lncRNA from 1 species
AUGGGCUGAUUAGUUGAGUCAUUUAUUGAUUCAGGAAUAUUUGUCGAGCCUCAACAAUGUACCAAACACUAUGCUGGUUACAGAAAUAAAGAGAGAAACACAUUCUGUCCUCAAGGGGCUCCUAAUCAAGUAGGGGAGAGAAGCAAUGUCUGUAUAUUAAUGAAUCAAAUCAAGGUGACAAAGAUAAGGCUUCAGAACCCAGGAGACAAAGUGUUUGAGGUAGGUCAUUAUUCUGUCUGUGUGUUGCGGGGUGUGUGGGCAAGGGUGAGGCGUGUGGGGUGGUGUGGAUAUGGUGUGCAUGGGCCUCUGUGUGUGUAGGUUAUGUGUAUGUGGUGUGUGUGGUGUGGGGAGUGUGUUUGUGUAUGGGAGUGUGUAUGUGUCUGUGGUGACAGUGGUGAAUAUGUGUGUGGGUAUGGUAGUGAUGGUACUAGGUGGUGUUUAGUGCAUGUCCUGUGAGAAUUGUGUGUAGGUAUAGGGAUGUGUGUGUAUAGUGGUGAUGGUGGUGUGUGGUGUGGGGGGGUGUGUGUGGUGGAGAGAGUGUGUGUAUGAGAGUGUGUAUGUAGUGAGUGAUGGUGGUGAAUGUGUGUAGUGGUGAUGGUGGUGUUUGUGUGGUGUGGGGUGUGUGUGUGUAGUGGUGAUGGUGGUGUUUGUGUGGUGUGGGGGGUGUGUGUGUGUGGUGAGUGGUGGUGAAUGUGUGUGUAGUGGUGAUGGUAUGUGUGGUGUGGGGGGUGUGUGUGGGGGGUGAGUGGUGGUGGUGUAUGUUUGGUGUGUGUGGUGUGUGUGUGUGGUGAGUGGUGGUGAAUGUGUGUGUGUAGUGGUGACGGUAUGUGUGGUGUGGGGUGAGUGGUGAUGGUGGUUGUGUGGUGUGUGUGUGUGUGUGUGGUGAGUGGUGGUGAAUGUGUGUGUGUAGUGGUGACGGUAUGUGUGGUGUGGGGUGAGUGGUGAUGGUUGUGUGGUGUGUGUGUGUGUGUGUGUGGUGAGGUGGUGGUAAAUGUGUGUGUAGUGGUGAUGGUAUGUUUGUGUGGUGUGGUGUGUGUGUGUGUGGAGUGGUGGUGAAUGUGUGUGUGUAGUGGUGAUGGUAUGUGUGGUGUGGGGGUGUGUGUGUGUGUGGUGAGUGGUGGUGGUGAAUAUGUGUGUGUAGUGGUGAUGGUGGUAUGUUUGUGUGGUGUGUGUGUGGUGUGGGGUGUGUGUGUGUGGUGAGUGGUGGGGUGGUGGUGAAUGUGUGUGUAGUGGUGAUGGUAUGUUUGUGUGGUGUGGUGUGUGUGUGUGUGGAGUGGUGGUGAAUGUGUGUGUGUAGUGGUGAUGGUAUGUGUGGUGUGGGGGGUGUGUGUGUGGUGAGUGGUGGUGGUGAAUAUGUGUGUGUAGUGGUGAUGGUGGUAUGUUUGUGUGGUGUGUGUGUGGUGUGGGGUGUGUGUGUGUGGUGAGUGGUGGGGUGGUGGUGAAUGUGUGUAGUGGUGAUGGUGGUGUUUGUGUGGUGUGGGGGGUGUUUGUGUGGUGUGGGGUGUGUGUGUGUAGUGGUGAUGGUGGUGUUUGUGUGGUGUGGGGGGUGUUUGUGUGGUGUGGGGUGUGUGUGCGUGGUGAGUGGUGGUGGUGAAUGUGUGUAUAGUGGUGAUGGUGUUUGUGUGGUGCGGGGUGUGUGUGUGUAGUGGUGAUGGUGGUGUUUGUGUGGUGUGGGGGGUGUGUGUGUGUGUGUGGUGUGGGGUGUGUGUGUGUGGUGAGUGGUGGUGGUGAAUGUGUGUGUGGUAGUGAUGGGGCAGGCUGAGGGCUGAGCCAGAGAAGGCAUGGAGAUGAGACAACUCCAGAGGGUAUGUAAGGGGAGGUGAGUGGUGGGAGGUGAGCUAGGAAGGCAUUUUUAAUGUUGACCCAUACUCUCUAAUCAAGACAAUGACAGUUUUGCAGCUGUUCCUCUUCCUAAGCUCAUGUGAGGAUUUUGGGUUAGAAUCACUGUGUUCUUCUCCGCAGGCCGAAGCUCCCUAGCGCUGGGGCCUCCACUCUGGGAAGGGCCCUGUGGGUGAAUCUCUGAGCGUUUACUGGGCUCCUUCUCUACCUGGGCUGCCGCACCCAGAACAGUUCUUAGAGUUUCCAGCCUCCUGAGCUCGCGGAAUAGCAAAGAAGAAUCAGAAAUGUUUCAAAUACAGCUAAGACCGUCUUUGGUUCCACCCAACACUUUCUCCUCAUGAGUGAUGGUAAUGUCCUGAUGAAUUUCUGCUUGGAAACAACUGGACUCAGUCAGUUGAGAAAUGACAGAGCUCAUAUGCACAACACCUUGAAGCCUUCCUUCAGCAAUGCGGACGAUACACACAACCUUCAACACUUCAGAGAGAAUCCUCCGUGAUGAUGUAUGCUCAAGUAUUUUGGUGUGAGAUGUCAUGAUACCUAUAACUUACUUAUUAAAAAUUCAGGCCAGGCACAGUGGCUCAUGCC